rnacentral:rRNA from 1 species
CCGUAGCCCAAGAGAUCGGGAUAACACCUGGAAACAGAUGCUAAUACCGGAUAACAACAGAUGAUGCCUAUCAACUGUUUAAAAGAUGGUUCUGCUAUCACUCUCGGAUGGACCUGCGGUGCAUUAGCUAGUUGGUAGGGUAACGGCCUACCAAGGCGAUGAUGCAUAGCCGAGUUGAGAGACUGAUCGGCCACAUUGGGACUGAGACACGGCCCAAACUCCUACGGGAGGCAGCAGAU